rfam:Schistosoma haematobium scaffold656_20, whole genome shotgun sequence.
AUCCACAUGAAGAGUUCCAAAUAGGACGAGACAAGCGUCCUGGAU